UAAGUAUUAGUGUUGAAUGCACAUAGAACUUUGAAUUCUAUAGUAAUAGUUUUCUAUUAUACUUAA
rnacentral:tRNA from 1 species